rnacentral:rRNA from 1 species
UACACUCCUACGGGAGGCAGCAGUGGGGAAUAUUGCACAAUGGGCGCAAGCCUGAUGCAGCCAUGCCGCGUGUAUGAAGAAGGCCUUCGGGUUGUAAAGUACUUUCAGCGGGGAGGAAGGCGAUAAGGUUAAUAACCUUGUCGAUUGACGUUACCCGCAGAAGAAGCACCGGCUAACUCCGUGCCAGCAGCCGCGGUAAUACGGAGGGUGCAAGCGUUAAUCGGAAUUACUGGGCGUAAAGCGCACGCAGGCGGUCUGUCAAGUCGGAUGUGAAAUCCCCGGGCUCAACCUGGGAACUGCAUUCGAAACUGGCAGGCUAGAGUCUUGUAGAGGGGGGUAGAAUUCCAGGUGUAGCGGUGAAAUGCGUAGAGAUCUGGAGGAAUACCGGUGGCGAAGGCGGCCCCCUGGACAAAGACUGACGCUCAGGUGCGAAAGCGUGGGGAGCAAACAGGAUUAGAUACCCCGGUAGUCCCAUG